rnacentral:snRNA from 1 species
GGAUGUGAAGGUGAUCUGACUGCGACAUCUGUCACCCCAUUGACUUCCAGGAUUGAUUCAUCUGAUCUGGCAGGCUAGGCAGGUGUCCCCUUCCUCUCUCACCACUCAUAUGUGUCCCUCCCAAAGCUGCUCCUUGGUAGAAGAGGAUGAUCACCCCUGAUAGAGGAGGACCGUUUCCUUGGUCCAGGGUAUAUGAGUAGCUGCGCGCCCCUGCUAGAACCUUCAAACGAGCUCUCCAAGAAUUUAGUAUAAUGACUAUUUCCAUAGUGUUUAUGUUGUGUUAGGUACUAUAAGUAACCUGAGAUGAUUGAAAGUAUAUGGGAGGACGUGCAUAAGAUACAUGCAUGUACUAUGAUAU